GACGAACGCUGGCGGCGUGCCUAAUACAUGCAAGUAGAACGAGUUGCGAGCGGGUGAGUAACGCGUAGGUAACUGCCUCAUAGCGGGGGGUCACUAAUGGAAACGAAAGCUCAUAAAGCAUACUGUGAGCUGAACCUGCGGUGGAUUAGCUAGUUGGUGGGGUUAAGGCUCACCAAGGCGACGAUAAAUAGCCGAGCUGAGAGGGUGAUCGGCCAAACUGGGACUGGGGCACGGCCCCAACUCCUUCGGGAGGCAGCAGUAGGGAAUCUUCGGCAAUGGACGGAAGUCUGACCGAGCAACGGCGCGUUAGUGAUGAAGGUGCUCGGGUUGGAAAGCUCUGUUAAUCGGGAAGCGUUAACUAAACAGAAAGGGACGGCUAACUACGUGCCAGCAGCCGCGGUAAUUC
rnacentral:rRNA from 1 species